CACCGCCUGGGGAGUACGACCGCAAGGUUAAAACUCAAAUGAAUUGACGGGGACCCGCACAAGUAGUGGAGCAUGUGGUUUAAUUCGAAGAUACGCGCAGAACCUUACCAACACUUGACAUGUUCGUCGCGACUUUAAGAGAUUAAAGUUUUCGGUUCGGCCGGACGAAACACAGGUGCUGCAUGGCUGUCGUCAGCUCGUGUCGUGAGAUGUUGGGUUAAGUCCCGCAACGAGCGCAACCCUCACUUUUAGUUGCCAUCAUUAAGUUGGGCACUCUGAAAGAACUGCCAGUGAUAAGCUGGAGGAAGGUGGGGAUGACGUCAAGUCCUCAUGGCCCUUACGUGUUGGGCUACACACGUGCUACAAUGGUAUCUACAACAGGAAGCAAAACCGCGAGGUUAAGCAAAUCCUUAAAAGAUACCUCAGUUCGGAUUGCACUCUGCAACUCGAGUGCAUGAAGCUGGAAUUACUAGUAAUCGUGGAUCAGCGUGCCACGGUGAAUGCGUUCCCGGGUCUUGUACACACCGCCCGUCACACCAUGGGAGUUGGUUCUACCUUAAGGCAAAGUUUAAAACCCUUGACCACGGUAUAGUCAGCGACUGGGGUGAAGUCGUAACAAGGUAGCCGUAGGGGAACCUGCGGCUGGAUUACCUCCUUUCUAAGGAUGAAUGAAAUCAAAUUUCAUUCUAAAUAAUAUACAGGUAAUGUUGACCGUCCUCAUAUCUCUUUUUAAAGUAGUGUUUCUCUCGCAUGGGGGCCGGUAGCUCAGUUGGUUAGAGCACACCCCUGAUAAGGGUGGGGUGGAAAGUUUGAGUCUUUCUCGGCCCACCAAUUUAAGAUCAUGGGGGAUUAGCUCAUCUGGGAGAGCGCCUGAUUUGCAUUCAGGAGGUCAGCGGUUCGAUCCCGCUAUCCUCCACCAGAAACAUUUAGCUAUAAAAAAUUGUAAAUAAAAAUAAUAAUUAAUAUCAAUAUCUAUAUCCGAACAUUAGUAAUGUUAUUAGGUAGUGUUCAAAUAAAAAUUUGAUUCAACACAGAAUUUUUUUCUG
rnacentral:sRNA from 1 species